rnacentral:misc_RNA from 1 species
UUAAGUUCAGCGGGUAUCCCUACCUGAUCCGAGGUCAACCAUAAAAAAUUGAGGGUUGCUGGCAAGCAUCCACCAAGACUCAAUCGCGAGGGUUUAAUUACUACGCGUAGAGCUCGAAUGGCACCGCCACUGAUUUUAAGGCAAGCCGUUACCGGCAGUGCCCAAGACAAGCAUAGCUUGAGGGUUGAAAUGACGCUCGA